CAAAUCUGUUAAUAAAAGAAGCUAUAAAGUCUGAAUUCCCCAAAAAAUACCAGAUCCUCGAAAGGUGCUAUUUGUCCCUAUAAAGUGUAGGGGGAGGGGGGAUGAAAAAAAUCUCCUUUUUUAACAAACUGGUCAUUAAUAUGAACUGUCCAAUAUCUUAUUUAUAUAAAACAUAUGAAAUCAAUAUAAAGUUGUUAACCCCCAAUGCAUUUUAAUAUUGAACUAGAUAAAAAAUAAAUACGAAAUCUCGAGAAGUCAUAACCAUUUGUGCACUUACCAAUAGGACGUUACCCUCCCC
rnacentral:lncRNA from 1 species